rnacentral:tRNA from 1 species
GGUCCCGUGCUGCUCAGUUGGUAGAGCAUGGUGUUUGCAACGCCAGGGUUGUGGGUUCGAUUCCCACGGGGGACCA